GUCUCCGUGGCUUAGUGGUUAAGCAUCCGCCUACGAAGCGGGAGGUCGUGGGUUCGAUCCCUGCCCGAGUCA